rnacentral:tRNA from 2 species
GGCUCGGUAGCUUCAUUGGUAAAGCACUCGUCUAUCGCACAAGAGUCAUGGGUUCGAAUUCCACCUGAGCAC